AGAACGAACGCUGGCGGCAUGCCUAAUACAUGCAAGUCGAACGAACUCUUCGGAGUUAGUGGCGCACGGGUGCGUAACGCGUGGGAAUCUGCCCCUUGGUUCGGAACAACAGUUGGAAACGACUGCUAAUACCGGAUGAUGACGAAAGUCCAAAGAUUUAUCGCCCAGGGAUGAGCCCGCGUAGGAUUAGCUAGUUGGUGAGGUAAAGGCUCACCAAGGCGACGAUCCUUAGCUGGUCUGAGAGGAUGAUCAGCCACACGUGGGACUGAGACACGGCCCAGACUCCUACGGGAGCAGCAGUA
rnacentral:rRNA from 1 species